rnacentral:rRNA from 1 species
AUGGCGAUCAAGCUUAUAGCAGUAGCGUUUUUCUUGCUUGUCCUGGCCUUUGCUGAGUCCAGCGAUAGGGGUGAACCUCCAUCAUCUCAAGAAAAUGCUUUUGGUGCGAGUGCUUAUGCGGUUCAUUGGGAUCCAGAUCAUGCGCAUUCUGAAGAAAACGGUUUUGGUGAAAGUGCUUAUGCGGUGCAUUGGGAUCCUCCUUCUCAAAAAGACAACUUUGGUGAAAGUGCGUAUGCGGUACAUUGGGAUCCCCCUUCAAAAGAAAAAGGUUUUGGGGCAAGUGCUUAUAAGGUGGACUGGAACCCACCUUCGAAAGAAGAAGGUUUUGGGGCAAGUGCUUAUAAGGUGGACUGGAACCCACCUUCGAAAGAAAAAGGUUUUGGGGCAAGUGCUUAUAAGGUGGAUUGGAACCCAGAAGAUACACAUUCCAAAGAAAAAGGUUUCGGCGAAAGUGCUUACAAGGUGACUUGGAGCCCAGAAGAUGCACAUUUCGGUUUUGGGGCAAGCGCUUAUAAGGUCUCUUGGAGUCCAGAUGGUGCACCUUCUGAGAAAGGAUUUGGUUCAAGUGCUUAUGCGGUACAUUGGGAUCCAGAUCAUCCACCUUCUGAAAAAACCGGUUUUGAUGCAAGUGCUUACGCGGGACAUCGGGAUCCAAAUCAUGCACACUCUCCUUCCUCCAUUCCUGAAGCACCAACAAAACACAAGCAUAUAAAAGUUCAAACCGGCAUGUUAUUCCUGAAGAAGAAUCUGCACAUCGGCACUACACUUCCUAAAGGAACCAUGUUUGCACGAGACGGUGCACCAAAGUCUGUUCAUUUUGCCUCUACUCCAUUGGAGUCAAAGUACUUGGCAACCAUCCUUUCAUAUUUCAUGAUACCUCAUGGCUCGACCAAGGCAAAGCAGGUAGCUGACACCCUUCGUUCAUGCGGCAAACCGGUUGACAAGGAGGAUCCUCACAUGUGCUUCUCAUCCCGUGAAGCAAUGUCAAGGUUCGCCACCAGAGAAUUAGGGGUCAGCGGCGCACGAGCAGCCAUUACAAGGAUUCAUGGGAAUGAGACCCCCAGCUCCAUGUACGUUGUGGAACAGAUCACCCAACUCAACAAUAACGUGGUGCCAUGCCAUCCUAUGGAUUUUCCGUAUGAGGUAUUUUAUUGCCAUCGGCCGAAAGAGGUGCAGUCUCUGGGGGUGCAAAUCAAGGGUUUGAAAGAUGGCAUGCCGCGCGUGACGGCAAUAGCCAUGUGUCACAUGAACACAUCUAAUUGGGACACCCAGUACUUUGAGCUAUUAGACGGAAAGCGUGGUGAACCUAUUUGCCACUACAUGCCUACCAAUUACAUCAUGUUUUAUUAG